UCCUGGCUGCGCUUCUUUCGGGCAGCCAGGCCUCCUGCGGUCUGCGCCCUUCCCCCUCCGCCCGGCGCCCGCCGCCUGCACUCGCCGGGCUGCCUCCCGAGGCGGCGCGAUGUUGACCGCGGCUCGGAGGACCGGGCCUUCCCGCCUGGUGGGGCCCCGGUACGGGAGGCCUCGUCGGCCGCACGCGCUGUGACAGGGGCCGGAGCCCGCGGGGCUGCGCCCUUCUCCAGCCUCGGCUCGGGCCUGACGGCUGUGCCUGAUGAAGACUCCAGGAUGACUGAAGUUGGUUUUUUUGGGGAGCGAGGACUCCAGAGGUCAUGACAGUGAUGAAACAGAACAAUCUCAGGACACGUGGGUUGCCCCCAAGUUCCCUGGAGGUAUCUGAUACUGAAGAGACCAGCAUGUUUCCAUGGCUGUGCUUUAAGGUUAGUAGUAAAGCUGUCCUCAGCUGCGAUUAUGGAGCUACUGAGUCGGGAAAAUUGCAACAGGCUAUUUCAGGUGGAAACUGAACUCCAAGCACAGAUUUUUUUUUUUUUUUUUUUGCUAAUGUUAUAUGCAUCUGAUGUUGAACUAUAGAUGAUCAAUAAAAGACGAAGUAUG